ensembl:lncRNA
CCCUCCUCUUUCCCCCUCCAUCAGCCUCUGCCUUGCCCCCUAGCUAUUACUGUUGGUCAACACCUGUCUUGUACCAGCCCUCCAACAAGGUCGCUGUAGUGCAAAUAGGCUGACUGUUGCUGACUGACUGCUGGCUCCUGAUAGGCUCCUCUCGGAAAGGGAAGGCUCGGGUCCCAGGGUCAUUUUCGGAAAGGCGAGGAGACUGUGUUUGGUUUCGCUCCUGGGACCAGUCUGAGAAGAGGAAAGAGAAGCAAAUGAAGAAAAAGAGAGAAACAGUAGCUUUUAACACAGUGUAGACCGGGGGGUUGUUUUAACACAGUGUAGGCAGGGGGUUGUUUUAACACAGUGUAGGCAGGGGGCUGUUUUAACACAGUGUAGACAGGGGGGUUGUUUUAACACAGUGUAGACAGAGGGUUGUUCUAACACAGUGUAGACAGGGGGUUGUUUUAACACAGUGUACGCAGGGGGUUGUUUUAACACAGUGUAGACAGGGGGUUGUUUUAACACAGUGUAGACAGGGGGGUUGUUUUAACACAGUGUAGACAGGGGGGUUGUUUUAACACAGUGUAGACAGGGGGUUGUUUUAACACAGUGUAGACAGGGGGUUGUUUUAACACAGUAUAGACAGGUGUAGACAGAGGGUUGUUUUAACACAGUGUAGACAGGGGGUUGUUUUAACACAGUGUAGACAGAGGGUUGUUUUAACACAGUGUAGGCAGGGGGUUGUUUUAACACAGUGUAGACAGGGGGUUGUUUUAACACAGUGUAGACAGAGGGUUGUUUUAACACAGUCUAGACAGGGGGCUGUUUUAACACAGUUGUGUGAGUUGUGGCUUAUGAACUUCUACUUCUGGUAGGUUCUUAUCUCGGGCUCCUGAUUGGCUCAUUGCGGUCUAAGGCACUGCAUCUCUGGUGCUACAGGCGUCACUACAGACCCUGGUUCGAUUCCAGGCUGUAUCCACCACCGGCCGUGAUUGGGAGUCCCAUAAGGCAUAACACAAUUGGCUGUCUGCGUUUUGCCGGGGAUAGGCUGUCAUUGUAAAUAUGAAUUUGUUCUUCACUGACUUGUCUAGUUAAAUAAAGCUUAAUAAAUAAAAUAAAGUACCAGGAGAGUGAGCACUGCCAUUGAUUAGAGCACACACACACACAGCCCCCCUCGCUAUGACCUGAGUUGAAAACAGUGUAAAAUGGAGAGAUAAAGGAAUCAGGGGAGAAAAUAGUCUUUCAACGAUACAGCCCUGUUGUUCUUUUUAUGGGAAAUAAUAAAAUAGCCCCUCAAGGGGGGGGAUUGUUGUAAACUUGUUGGAAGAAGCAGGUUGCAAUGUUAACAAUGGUAUAUUUAUGAGCAACAACUUCUUGGAGUGUCUUUUUUAAAAAUGUUAUCAGGGAGACUAAUAUCAAGUCAAUUUGAUCCCGAGGCAGGAACAUUGGACAACUAUUUAGGGCUAGAAACAAAGUGUAUUUAUUAUAAUCUAUGGCAGUGCUCACAGUGAAGUAUCGCUAUUAGCCACAAAGCCAGCAGUCUCUCUAAUGGGUUAUAAAUGAGAAGAACACAGUUUGAAAUGUGAAUCACAGUGAUGCAUGAAAUAAGCUAAUUUCCAUAUAUAUGUAGCUCAGGGAUUCUUGAAAGACGGGGACAUGAACCCCCCCCCCCAAAAAAAAUCACCAAUCAUUUUCUU